AAGCGAAACCGCGCCCCUACGGGGGCCGGUCUACUGGGCGUGGUGGCCCAGUACUGAUGAGCAGCCAAAG
rnacentral:hammerhead_ribozyme from 2 species